AUCGGAGCAAGAGGGGUUUUCAUUGCGUGCUCCGCGUGACGCGCGCAAUUAAUAUCUGUGACCGUUUACAAAAUUUUGUAAUAAUCUCCUUAAAACAAUUAUCUAGUAUUUAUAUCGAAUGACUAUGCGGCAAAAGAUAAUGAUAGUACGAAGAAGGAUGAGGUUCCUCCGACUCAUCGUAGUAUAGAAAUGACAUCGCAGUAUGGAGGAUUCGAUAAAGUACAUAAUUGCUGCAGAAAAUAAUGCUGACACAGGAAAAGACGGGGAGUUAACUGAGAAAAAGCUAUCUAAUGAGAAUAUUCUUUUUUAUUAAAAAAAUUGUUGGGUGUUUUUCCGAAAACAACCUUCUGCCAAUCAACCUAAAAUGUUGUGGAAAAGAGGGUAGAGGUAGAAGGUGACGAAAAAUAUAAAAUUUUAGCUUCUAUUAUUUAUUAAGAAAAAAAUAUUCGGUACAACAUGCUGAAUUUUACCUAACAAACUAAUUAAUGGUCUCUGCUGUAGUAAUAUCGGCGGCGAACUAAUAACACAAUAGCGAUGUCGAUUUUACUAUUUAGGAUUAAGAAAUUAUUGGUAUAUUAUUUUUUAAAUAUUUAAUCGUCUCAGAUAGUAAAACUUUUGCAGCUUGGGUAACAUUUUUGAAAUUGACUUUUGGUCGUCUAACAAUAAGACGAUCGGAUAUCCCAUUAUGAGUUGUUUGCCAUAAAAAAUAUGAAACAAAAAUGUUUUUAUAUUUUACAGUUCUUUCUCUUUUGUUACACUUAUCUAAUUUGCGGUAAUUUUAACAUUGUGUCCAAAAACUGAAAAUAAAAUACUGUUCAGAGUAUCAGAACGCUUCAACUAGCGGCAUUUUAACCAAUGCAUUCACAAUGAAGUUCUGCGAUUCUGACCACUUAACCAGCUGGCUCUCGCAGAACAAAUUUAAAUAUUUUCCUUUCCCUAGGAAAAUUAGUAUAUCUCUCA